rnacentral:rRNA from 1 species
UAGGGAAUAUUGCACAAUGGGCGAAAGCCUGAUGCAGCAACGCCGCGUGUGCGAUGAAGGCCUUCGGGUCGUAAAGCACUUUUCUGGGAGAUGAGAAAGGACAGUAUCUCAGGAAUAAGUCUCGGCUAACUACGUGCCAGCAGCCGCGGUAAAACGUAGGAGGCAAGCGUUAUCCGGAUUCACUGGGUGUAAAGCGCGUGCAGGCGGUUCGGUAAGUUGGGCGUGAAAUCUCCUGGCUCAACUAGGAGAGGUCGUUCAAUACUACCGGACUUGAGAGUGGUAGAGGAAGAUGGAAUUCCCGGUGUAGUGGUGAAAUGCGUAGAUAUCGGGAGGAACACCAGUGGCGAAGGCGAUCUUCUGGACCAUUUCUGACGCUCAGACGCGACAGCUAGGGUGGCAAACG